UACAGAGGUCUCAAGCGUUUGUUCGGAUUCAUUGGGCGUAAAGGGUGCGUAGGCGGCGCGGUAAGUCGGGUGUGAAAUCCCCGGGCUUAACCUGGGACUGCAUUUGUGACUGCAUGGCGUGGAGUGCGGCAGAGGGGGAUGGAAUUCCGCGUGUAGCAGUGAAAUGCGUAGAUAUGCGGAGGAACACCGAUGGCGGAAGGCAGCUCGCUGGGACGUGACUGACGCUGAAGACGCGGAAAGCGUGGGGAGCAAACAGG
rnacentral:rRNA from 1 species